CUGUGAGUCGCGGCUGCACGAGCUGUUUACAGAGACCAGCGGACCUGAAGGAGGACAGGCAGGACGGAGAGCGUGUCCUGAGCGCGCGGACACGCAGACAGACAGUUGCAGAUUUUCCUGUUUUUCCAGAACAGUCGCAGCUGAAACAGGAAGUGAACCCUGGAUUUAAGAAGCACUUUACCCUUAUUUAGCAGCAACAAGUCCUGUGUCAAAUAUCCUCGUAAGUUUUUGUCAUAUUUAGUCCACUGCAAACUAUUUUUAAAGUUGACUAAAAAAAGUCUGAGUAUUUGAGUCAAAAGAAAAUCAAAAGUAUUUUAGUCUAGUUUUCGACAUUAACCAUCAUUUUAGUCUUUUCUAACUCAUUAUCAGCAUUUUGGUCGAUCUGCACGAACCAAAAUAGAGAUAUUUAUCAUUUUAGUCUUUAUUUCACUCAUCUCACAUACAGAUAAAUUGUUUUGUAAAAUUUGAA